rnacentral:rRNA from 1 species
CGCCUUGCCAGCCCGCUCAGAAACUUAAAGGAAUUGACGGGGCCGCACAAGCGGAGGAACAUGUGGUUUAAUUCGAUGAUACGCGAGGAACCUUACCUGGGCUAGAACGCAUUCGGAAUCAGGCCGAAAGGUCUGCGCCAGCGAUGGCCGCUUGCGAGGUGCUGCAUGGUUGUCGUCAGCUCGUGCCGUGAGGUGUCGGGUUAAGUCCCAUAACGAGCGCAACCCCUACUGCUAGUUGCCAGCGGGUCAUGCCGGGGACUCUAGCGGAACUGCCAGCGUAAGCUGCGAGGAAGGUGGGGAUGACGUCAAAUCAGCACGGCCCUUACGUCCAGGGCUACACACGUGUUACAAUGGCCAGUACAGAGGGCAGCCACCCCGCGAGGGGGCGCUAAUCCUAAAAGCUGGUCCCAGUUCGGAUCGGAGUCUGCAACCCGACUCCGUGAAGCUGGAUUCGCUAGUAAUCGUAGAUCAGCAAUGCUACGGUGAAUACGUUCCCGGGCCUU